AGCUCCUUAAUUAGCUGAACCACAUAUAAAGUACCUGUGGCCUUGUCUGCCUGUUGCUUGCCACAUGUUCCUUUCUCUGAGUGAAGUGGCUGCUGGUGGGGGCUAGGCCCUCUAGGUGGUUCCCUGCACUGUUUGUAGUUGUAAGUGUGCUGGGACACUGUCAAAAGGUUCUCCCAUACCUUCUCACCUGCUCCCACCUUCCCUACACUGACUGUGGCCUGCAGAGUGAUUAGGCUGAGUGAAAUCACCUGAGCUUAAUUGAACAUAGUGAGGCCUUCAGUUGGGUUGUUUCUUGUAUAAAGCCAGAGUCUGGGGUGAAAUGUUUGUUGGUGGCAGCUUUUUCUUUCAUUUUAAUUAAUCUAGUUGUUUUAUUAGAUUACCUGGGACUUGACCCCAAUUUUGAUGUUGACUUACAAUCAGUAAUGUUACAGACACAAUAGUUUGCACCUGUUUGCUAUGAGUGGUUGAGUAGAUUGCUCUCCUGGAACAAACCCUUGGAUGUUAGGCUGCCUCCCUGCUACUGAUGAUUUGAAUGAAAGUGUUAUUUUAGAAUAAAUUAAAUUGUAAUAAACCUGUUUAUUCCUCUCCCUAAAUUGAGCAAUAACUAAAACCCAUCUCUUAACAGA